GGAUCAAUACUGAGCGUCCAGUUCUAACCAUGGCUUUCCUUGCGCUGUGUCAUACCGUCUCCAAUAUUCUCAUUCUUCUCCGUGCACUCGUGAUACUUUACCACGGUCUCCAACGUAACGAACGUAAUCCGACUCCACCCAGCCCAAACGCACCCCAUUAGCGAACGAGCGUGUCGAUGAGCUGCAAAUGACGAUGCGACAUAACGGUGGUCGCAAUGCAAUAAAAUCACUCCCCGAGGGCUCCCCGUUCGACGACGCAAUGCGUGAAAAGCAAACCAAAUCAUCCCCGCAGGCACACUCACAUAAAACAGAAUCCCCCACCCGCUUUCGAACCGUGUCCAUGUCGUAAGCCUAAUAGGGAUUGCGUUACCUUCUCCUUGGCCUGCCGAAAUGCCAGAGGUGGCGCUACGAGGCUGUCUGGGAUGGAAAGCUCACCCUGCAGCAGGUGGAAAUAUAGUUUGAAAAAAUAGCGGAGAAAACUGAUCUUCUUGUCAAGUGUGAC